rnacentral:rRNA from 1 species
UACGAAGGGUGCGAGCGUUGUUCGGAAUUACUGGGCGUAAAGGGUUUGUAGGCUGAAAUGUAAGUCAAGUGUGAAAUCCCCGAGCUAAACUUGGGACGUGCAUUUGAAACUGUGUUUCUUGAGUAUCGUAGAGGGUGGUGGAAUUGUAGGUGUAGGAGUGACAUCCGUAGAGAUCUGCAGGAACAUCAGAGGCGAAGGCGACCACCUGGCCGAUUACUGACGCUGAGAAACGAAAGCGUGGGGAGCAAACAGG